CAAAUUUCUACUGUUGUAGGAUUUUUGACCUAGUUAGAAUUUUUAAGGAUAAUCGAGUUGUAUUUUUUAAUCCUGCAAUAGAAGAUCCCAAUUUUAGCUCAAACAGUUGUUUAUGAUGA